rnacentral:tRNA from 1 species
GCCUGGCUGGCUCAGUAAGUGGAGUGUGCAACUCUUGAUCCCGGGUAUGUGAGUUCAAGCCUCACGUUGGGUG